UUGAAGGAUCAGGACGUUAAAGAUGAACAUUUAUCUGAGAGCAGCAUGGGCAGCAGCAGUUUAAGCUUCUUCACACAGUCCUGCUAAUGUACCUGCCUUCUGGAGGGUCCACCACCCUUAGUAGGUGAAAUGAUAUUUCUUUCUGUUUCCAUGCCCAUUUCAUCCUCUGCUGAG
rnacentral:sRNA from 1 species